rnacentral:rRNA from 1 species
UACGAAGGGUGCAAGCGUUACUCGGAAUUACUGGGCGUAAAGCGUGCGUAGGUGGUUCGUUAAGUCUGAUGUGAAAGUCCUGGGCUCAACCUGGGAAUGGCAUUGGAAACUGGCGACCUAGAGUGCGGUAGAGGGUAGUGGAAUUCCCGGUGUAGCAGUGAAAUGCGUAGAGAUCGGGAGGAACAUCUGUGGCGAAGGCGACUGCCUGGACCAGCACUGACACUGAGGCACGAAAGCGUGGGGAGCAAACAGG